UACGUAGGGUCCGAGCGUUGUCCGGAAUUACUGGGCGUAAGAGCUCGUAGGUGGUUUGUCGCGUUGUUCGUGAAAACUCACAGCUCAACUGUGGGCGUGCGGGCGAUACGGGCAGACUGGAGUACUGCAGGGGAGACUGGAAUUCCUGGUGUAGCGGUGGAAUGCGCAGAUAUCAGGAGGAACACCGGUGGCGAAGGCGGGUCUCUGGGCCGAUACUGACGCUGAGGAGCGAAAGCGUGGGGAGCGAACAGG
rnacentral:rRNA from 1 species